rnacentral:rRNA from 1 species
AGUCGAGGGGUAUGGCAGCAAUGCCAGAGACCGGCGCACGGGUGCGUAACGCGUAUGCAAUCUACCUUGUACAGGGGAAUAGCCCAGAGAAAUUUGGAUUAAUGCCCCAUAGCAUUUUUGAUAGGCAUCUAUUAGAGAUUAAAGUUCAGGCGGUACAAGAUGAGCAUGCGUCCCAUUAGCUAGUUGGUAUGGUAACGGCAUACCAAGGCAAUGAUGGGUAGGGGUCCUGAGAGGGAGAUCCCCCACACUGGUACUGAGACACGGACCAGACUCC